UGAAGUGCUCCAUGACGUAAACUCGGAAGCGUAUGAAGUUACUGACUUUCACAUCAUCUUUGUACAAAUAUGUCUGGAUCUGGACUAACGUGUGCUGUAAUCGGAUGUCACAAUAACAGCAGAAAGCUAAAAAUGUGGAAAAAGAGCGUAUGUGCGCUUCAUAGUCCACAGUUUAAAGAGGAUUGUCCUUGUUGUGUGCCCUACGGUGUACACCGCUUCCCCGGCCGUGCUGAGGAUGAAGACAUUCGCAAGAUGUGGAUUAAAAACGUACACCGAAAGGACUUUGCCCCCAAACAAGUAUUCAAGGGUGUGUGGAGUACACUUCCCUGACGGCAGACCAACGCAGGAACACCCAUAUCCCAUAAUAUGGGAUAUGAAUAUAGGCCUAGUAAAGCACCAUCAUGUGGAAGACCACCCCCAAAGAGGAGAUGUCUCCAGCCCCCAACAGAGAGACUUGGAUUAAUGUUGAGAGGAUUAUUGUUCAAUACGGUGUAGAAACACUUGGUUCAGUUAUAUGUACCUGUAUAUAUCUAUCAUCUUUCAAGAAAUCCUUCAUCCCCUCAGCUGUGACCAUACUGAACAAGAGAUGAACUGUCCAGCUGCAGCAUGCAUAUAUUGUGUGGUCUUGUCUUUUUUUUUUUUGGUCAAGCCUUGUCUAAUGUCUGUGAGAAUCACUGAAGCCACGCCAAAGACAAUUUUCUGUUUCAUGGGUGUAACAGACAAUAAAGUUGUAUCUAAUCUAAUCAUAUCAAUGAGAAUCACUGCACCUGACAAAGGUAUGACAUACUGUAUACUGUAGGCUUAAGUGCUGAAGAAAAAUGAAUUAACCUGGCGGUUUUGAAAUGUUUAUUUACACAGUUAUUAAAAUGCAUACAGAUAGUGCAUUUAAUAUAGUUCAAUACUGUGUGCUUACUUGAUGGUUUUUUAUAUGUGCUGAACUGAAAAACAACCUAGCUACUUGUGCCCAACAUCCAACUGCAGCAUUGUAGCUGCAGGUGGGGGGUGAUGGUUGUUCAAAUUUGACACACACCUUACAUUGGUCCACUUUACAAAUGGCCCCAUACACUAAAUGACACUUGCUGGUGUGUUUUUUACUAGGCAACUUGUUAUUAAUCACUAAUGUUCUUAAUGUCAUUUCAAUGCAGCUCUUUGUGAGAAAUCUGGGCAGCCAUGGCCUAGUGCAGGGAUGUCAAACUCAGGCC